GGGCCAAUGAUGAGAUGUUAUCUUGAAGAGAAAUGAUGACACAAAAAUUAAGUUCAGUUUGAUUAUGCUGAGGCCC
ensembl:snoRNA SNORD115 Small nucleolar RNA SNORD115